GCACUUCUUAGUGCUCCAAACCCUGAUGACCCUCUUUCUGAGAACAUUGCAAAGCAUUGGAAAACUAAUGAGGCUGAAGCUGUUGAAACAGCAAAGGAAUGGACCCGUUUGUAUGCAAGUGGUGCAUGAUAGUGUGGUGGAAACUUUCCUUCAAAUGACGUUGGUGUGAUAUAUGCUAUUAACUGUUAAUCAAAAUUUCAAGAUUUGAUGUUUGAACAAGUUAUAAUUUAAUAUUUUUCAAAGCUUCCAGGUACUGCCUAUUAAAUUGUCCUCUGAUGUUGGAAGCAUCGUCUUUGAACUUGUAUGAUAAGGAACGC
rnacentral:misc_RNA from 1 species